rnacentral:rRNA from 1 species
CCUACGGGAGGCAGCAGUAGGGAAUUUUCCACAAUGGGCGAAAGCCUGAUGGAGCAAUACCGCGUGCAGGAUGAAGGCCUUCGGGUCGUAAACUGCUUUUAUGUGCGAAGAAUUUGACGGUAACACAUGAAUAAGGAUCGGCUAACUACGUGCCAGCAGCCGCGGUCAUACGUAGGAUCCAAGCGUUAUCCGGAAUUACUGGGCGUAAAGAGUUGCGUAGGUGGCAUUAUAAGUGGAGCGUGAAAGCGUGCGGCUCAACCGCAUUAUUGCGUUCCAAACUGUGAAGCUUGAGUAUGGGAGAGGUAGAUGGAAUUUCUAGUGUAGGAGUGAAAUCCGUAGAUAUUAGAAGGAACACCGAUGGCGUAGGCAGUCUACUGGCCCAUUACUGACACUAAGGCACGAAAGCGUGGGGAGCAAACGGGAUUAGAUACCCCGGUAGUCCACGCUGUAAACUAUGGAUGCUAGCUGUGACACACAUCGACCUGUGUCGUAGCGAAGUUAACGCGUUAAGCAUCCCGCCUGGGGGAGGUACGGUCGCGAGAGUAACUAACGAAGAAGUAGACGCGNGAGACGUGCGACGACGACGACGAGGGAGGAGG